GCGGUUUCCGGAUUAUUGGGCGUAAGCGAGCGCAGGCGGUUCUUUAAUCUGAUGUGAAAGCCCCUGGCUCAACCAGGGAGGGUCAUUGGAAACUGGAGAACUUGAGUGCAGAAGAGGAAAGUGGAAUUCCAUGUGUAGCGGUGAAAUGCGUAGAUAUAUGGAGGAACGCCAGUGGCGAAGGCGACUUUCUGGUCUGUAACUGACGCUGAGGCUCGAAAGCAUGGGGAGCAAACAGGAUUAGAUACCCUGGUAGUCCAUGCCGUAAACGAUGAGUGCUAAGUGUUGGAGGGUUUCCGCCCUUCAGUGCUGCAGCUAACGCAUUAAGCACUCCGCCUGGGGAGUACGACCGCAAGGUUGAAACUCAAAGGAAUUGACGGGGGCCCGCACAAGCGGCGGAGCAUGUGGAUUAAUUCGAUGCAACGCGAAGAACCUUACCUGGGUUUGACAUGCACAGGAUUGCCUCAAAAAUGGGGUUUCCCUUGUGGCCUGUGUGCAGGUGGUGCAUGGCUGUCGUCAGCUCGUGUCGUGAGAUGUUGGGUUAAGUCCCGCAACGAGCGCAACCCUUGUCCUGUGUUGCCAGCACGUGGUGGUGGGGACUCGCAGGAGACUGCCGGGGUCAACUCGGAGGAAGGUGGGGAUGACGUCAAGUCAUCAUGCCCCUUAUGCCCAGGGCUUCACACAUGCUACAAUGGCUGGUACAGAGGGUGGCGAUACCGUGAGUGGAGCGAAUCCUUAAAGCCGGUCUCAGUUCGGAUCGGGGUCUGCAACUCGACCCUGUGAAGUCGGAGUCGCUAGUAAUCGCAGAUCAGCAGUGCUGCGGUGAAUACGUUCCCGGGUC
rnacentral:rRNA from 1 species